GACGAACGCUGGCGGCGUGCCUAAUACAUGCAAGUAGGACGCAGUUGCGAACGGGUGAGUAACGCGUAGGUAACUGCCUAUUAGAGGGGGAUAACUAUUGGAAACGAUAGCUAAUACCGCAUACUAGUAGAUGGACCUGCGUUGUAUUAGCUAGUAGGUAGGGUAAUGGCCUACCUAGGCGACGAUACAUAGCCGACCUGAGAGGGUGAUCGGCCACACUGGGACUUGAACUCGGCCCAGAAUCCUGCGGGAGGCAGCAGUAGGGAAUCUUCGGCAAUGGGGGGAUCCCUGACCGAGCAACGCAGCGUGAAUGAAGAAGGUUUUCGGAUCGUAAAGCUCUGUUGUUGAGGAAGCGGUACUUAACCAGAAAAGGACGGCUAACUACGUGCCAGCAGCCGCGGUAAUUC
rnacentral:rRNA from 1 species